UAUCACUGGACGGUCAGGCUUCCAAGGUAGGAAUUCGGUGGAGAGUGGGUGGGGGAGCAUAAUAUCAGUUCCAGCAGUCUGAUACAUCUAAAUGUUCACUUUGGCAUUGAUCAAGCAUUUAACAUGUGUUAGUCAUUGUGCUUCAAAGUGCCACAACUCUUCCCUUACUCUGGUAACGAGAACCGAAUAGUGCACCAUGAGAACCUCUGAUAGCCCCACACUCGCAGUUUUCUGCAUAUAAGGGAGGAAAUGCCUGGCCUGUAAGAACUGUGCAUCUCUGUUCAUAUCCUGGUCCAGUCUGGACAGCAUGUGCAUAAUUAGUCCAUUUUCUUCCCAGGCUCUUUGUUUAAGAGGAUUUGGUAGAUCUGCUAAUUCAGUUGCUUGUGUGCAGCUCUUGUCACACAGUCAAUUAUGGAAGUCUUUGAAUAGCAUAACUGAAAUCGUGUUCGGCUUAAUCACUUCUGACAGCAGCGGGGUUGCGGCUGAGCGCCAGCACACGUUACACAGGAAUGCCAUUAGCAGACUGGUCUCAGGGCACACACUGGUCCUUCUGUGUGUUAUCAGACUGGCAAGCAUCACCUCUGUAUGAACUGUUGGACCACCUCAGCCAGCAAGUUAAAAACAAUUGGCCUGACAGAAAUUAGAGGAGCCUAGGGAGUUUCCUCCAUCCAGAACUAUAGCAGCAGCCACAGUCACUGCCAAGAAGCUCCAUGUAGUCACUCUACUCACUGGUACCCAGCAAGACUCUGAAUCCAGGGUACCUGGAUGUGCUUCAAACAACCAUGAUGCCACCUUUUGCCUGUGGAGCCUGAGCUAGGAAGCUGAACCCCUCUGGACCUCCACUAUCGGUACACAUGAAGCACUUGGUUCAACACAUAGUCAGCACUUAAAAAUUUGACCUGUCAUGGUCUAGACACAGAGAUCAUUGCUCCAUUCAUGUUUACAAUAAUACAAUCACUAUGAGUACUAAGAACCCUCUUCUCAGUGGAUGUUCUCCAACUAUUGAAUAUGUAUUAAAUCAAUGCAAUCUUCACACAUACUGAAGGAAAGGAAAGCAUAUUUUUCUUGGAUAACAGAGAAACCUAAAUUGAGUAUGAACUUGAGCCUCCUGUUUAGCUGAGACUAAGCCUGAGGCUAUGAGGUUGACAACAGCAGCUCAGAUCUCUCACUGCUGGCUUGCCAGCAUGCCCUAGACCAGCGGCCUUGUAAUAGAAGUUUGGCUGCUCUUUUAUAGGCAAGGUGCUGGAGUUAGGAAUGAAAGAGACAUUGCCAGUGUCUUCUGCAACUGGGACUAAGACAGAGUUUUGGGAUGCUGAAUGGCAAACUCCAAAAGCAUUAGCUACUACUUUGAUGUAUUUGGGCCUCAAAAGUUGAAGCAUACAGAUCAUUUCUUCCUUUUUCUCCAGAUUCUUCUUCUUCCUCCUCCUCUUCCAUUUCCACUUCUUAAUCACCACCACCACCACCACCACCACUACUACCACCGCCACCACCACCACUACUACCACCACCACCACUACCACCACCACCACCACCACCACCAUCACCACUACUACCACCACCCCACUACCACCACCACCAUAUAGCCAUUUCCCUUCUGUUGAUAGAAUAAUGUUAGAGUUUGUUUAGAUCAACUAUUCCUUACAGCAACAUGUUCCAUGAAAGCACAGAUGUCCUAGAACCUCGCUACUAACAAUGCUCAACAAGCUGGCAGUGUUGUGUCCUAAGAACGCUUAUUAGGACUACUAACUCUCAGACUUCACCCCAGUCCUCUGAAUCAUGAUCUGCAUUUCAACCAGAUACUUAAACAAUUUGUGUGCAUACUGACGAUAGAGGACUGCUGGGAAAGGGGGACAUGGGCUUUGGCAUCUGAAGUAAAUAGAUUUGACACCCAUAUCUUCCAUUUAUUAUCUGCACUGCCUCAGAAAAAAAUUGCAUAACCUUUGUGAAAUUGUUUUCUAAUCUAUAAAUUGAACUUAAUACUAUCUUGCAGGAUUGUUGUAAGAAUUGGCGAUAAUAAAGUUAACUACAUUUAUUUCUCUGCUCCUGGCACAGUCUAAGAUACUUAACAUCCAUACUGUUUCUCAUUUCAGUUUCCCAACAGAGCUAUUAAGUAGGUGCUGGGUUAUCUACAGACACAAACACAGGAGAGUGGGAAGCCCUGGGCAGAGGAUGGUGAGCCAGUCAGUAGUAACACUGGUACAUCUCAGAGCUUUGAUUCUCCAUAGAGGAGAGGGGAUUGCAGUUAGCCAUUCCAUAUAUUCUACACACAGUCUAGGUAUACUUGUGUGUGUCUUUGUGUGUGUGUGUGUGUGUGUGUGUGUGUGUGUACAUGUGUUAACAGCCGUUGCAGUCUGAGCUGAAUUUUUUCAGGUUCUUGCUUCUUAUCCAAAGAAUUGAAAAUAAGAAUUCACAAAUUUGAAAAUAAUCAAGGUAAUUUUAUUUGGAGCAGAGCAAUAAUACAGACCUCACUGGGAAAAUGGACAACUGGUUACAUGAGUACUCACUCAUGCUUCAGGCUCCAGGGUGUAGCCUCAGUUCUCUUUUACGGAAGUAUAAGAGAGUGAGGGCUUAGGUAUUAAGGUGAAUGGUUUGGGAGGCUCUUUAUUUUAUAACUAGAUGAGGUCAAUGAAUCACUUCUCUACUGUGCUUGCCCCUUCCCAUAAUGCAUCUGAUUUAAUCCCAUGCCUAUCAAAUUAUGCAUAGACAUAAGAAAGUAAAGAAAGGACUCUCCCUAAAGCAAUGGUUCUUAGCCUUCCUAAUGCCACCGUUCUUUAAUAAAGUUCCUCAUCUUAUGGUGACCCCCAAACAUAAAAGUGUUUUGUUGCUACUUUAUAAUUAUAAUUUUGCUACUGUUAAUGAAUUGUAAUAUAAAUAAAGGAUAUGAGGAAUAGCUGAUAUGUGACCCCAAAGGGGGUCAUGAUCCACAGGAUAAAAACUGCUGCCCUAAAACAUUAUUAGAGAAGACAACUUUGUCCUAAGGAUUGUACACCUAAAACAUGGAUCAACAUUUUAUCGACUAUACCCAGACAUACUGGAGAUACAACUGGAUAGAAAGUCUGUUUUACUGUUAUCAGCAGCUGGGAAACUCAUACCUACUGUUCAGAGGUGGGAGUACAUGAAGGUCAUUGCAGGUUGUUAGUUGAGGGAUUUUGAGGUUGCUAGGUAUAUCAUUAGUAUGUGUGUGUCUGUGUAUGUUCGUGUGUGUGUGUGUGUGUGUGUGUGUGUGUGUGUGUGUGUGUGUGUGUGUUAAAUACAGGUUUAAGAACUAGGCUGCCAAGUGCAUUGCAUGCGGAAGGUAUAUAUAGGCUAAAACCAAAUGGGGUACCAGAGCAGUUAACUGCUCCUGCGACUGCCUGCCUGCCUGCCUGCCUGCCUGAUGCCUGCCUGCCUGAUGCCUGCCUGCCUGAUGCCUGCCUGAUGCUUGCCUGAUGCCUGCCUGCCUGCCUGCCUGAUGCCUGCCUGCCUGCCUGAUGCCUGCCUGCCUGCCUGAUGCCUGCCUGAUGCUUGCCUGAUGCCUGCCUGCCUGCCUGCCUGAUGCCUGCCUGCCUGCCUGAUGCUUGCCUGAUGCCUGCCUGCCUGCCUGCCUGAUGCCUGCCUGCCUGCCUGAUGCUUGCCUGAUGCCUGCCUGCCUGCCUGCCUGCCUGCCUGAUGCCUGCCUGAUGCCUGCCUGCCUGCCUGAUGCCUGCCUGAUGCCUUCCUGCCUGCCUUCCAUGUUUGCAUAUCUUUGGAGUCCAGAAGGCAACCUUGAGUAGUGCUGCUCAGGUGUUGUUCACUGUCUUUUGAGACAGAGUCUGUCAUUCAUCUGAACUUGCUAGCAGACUAGACUGCCUGACAGUGAGCCACUGGGAUCCACCUGUCUCCACCUCCCCACCACUUAGGUGACUCUAGGUCCUGUCAAGCUGACAGUAAGCCAUUUCACCACAGCAGCUUUGCUAGCAGGUGCUUCGGAAGUUCUGUCAGUAUCACAUGGGCCAGGGCCCUUCAGGAAUUGUUACAGUUAAACAGGUGGAAACCCUGGCAAGGAGCAACUUGUUUUUCCUUGCAAGAGAAGCAAAUGUGGUACACAUAGGGUGUGCUAAACCUGUGGUCAUGGGUAGUAUCUGUGGUGCAUUUAGAGCAGCUGCUGGGUAGGAGGCCAUGGGAAACCUCUCCUAUGACCAGACACCCCAUGCCUACAGAGUACAAUCAGGAUUCUCACACAUAAGGAUGUAGAAGAUUAUCCACACAUCUGUUUUCCAUUCCCAGUGGAGCUCACCUUCCACAAGCCCACCUCUCUGUCUUUUUAAAGUCUUCUGUCUUAAGGCCAAGAGCGAAGGACCAGGAUGAUAAUGCCUAUGAUCUGGGUUUUAUGUAAGGAAUAUUGUCAACGUAGAGAUGCAGUGAAGAGUCUGAGAGUGGGUAGACUGCUGGCAGCAUUAGAAUGUGAGCUAACUCUGCACCUAGGUGACAGAAGAGUUCUGAGGGACACCUGCUGUAAAGUGUAUGCUCCCUCAAAGGCCUUCUGUUUAUUUACAGGGUUUAAUUUCAAAUUUUAAGAGCAGGAACAAAAUUAAGAUCAGAAUAUGCUGGAAAGAAGGGAAAAUAUAGUAGGUACUUAGUUGUGCAUUGGGACUUUUCAACAAAAACUUCCUUCAUUCAACAAGUCAGGUGUUUCCUCUCAGGCAGGGCUGUGUGGAUCCAGGGCAGUAGUUGAAGCCUCAGUUGCACUCUAGUUCCUACUGGGCUUGCACAGUGCUGCUGUGUCCAGUCCCUCAAGUCAGAGUUUCUCUUCCUGCCACAAAGCAGCCUAAGGCAAAGCUCACACUCCUGAAACUACGGAGGGCAGAGCUGAUCAACUGGGUAGGACUGCUUCCCUCUCUUGGUCCAGCACGUCCUGCUGUAGCUUUAGACACAGGGUGAACAUUUUUCUCUUGCUAUGUUAUUUCACAUGUUUAGAAAUAUGUUUUUAAUCGUUGUCCCCCAAAUUAGCAGACAAAAGUCCUUUCAGAUAUUUUAGUAUUUUCUUUUUGGUGUGACACAACACCAAAUCAUUCUAGGCAAUGGUAGAACAGAGAUGGCUCAUGUUGGAUAAGGAGACCACCCAACUUUAUGACACCAUUGUAGCUAAUUGCAUCUGCAUGGAGACCCUUUCCAAAUAAGGUCACCUUCAGAGGUCAUGUGACCUUUCAACGUAUGUUGAAGAUGACAGUGUAUCAGUCUGCGGGGUGCAGAACAAGCCCACACAGUAGACUUUGUCAUCUACACUUUGAAGAUGACCAUGAAGAAGCCUUGUGAAGACUGAUACUGUCAAGGACGCCCAGCUCCUGAGCCUUACCCCAAGCCUGAGUUUCAUCCGGGUCCACCUGAAAGACCUCCGGAGCGGGGAGACCCUCACUCAAGUCUCGGGAUGAUGCGACCCCCCAAGAACUCACAGAUCUUCCUCCUAGCUGCCUGAGGAUGCUGGUCACUCCUAUUUGCCUUCGGAUCAAGAUGCAGAACUUUCAGCUCCUUUUCCAGCACCAACUUAGCCUGUCUACUGCCACACUUCCUGCUAUGAUGAUAAGGACUAAUCCUCUAAAUCUGCUGCCAGCAGAAGGAGGCACGACCCAGGGUAAAGGCAGAUCUUUCUACCUCGAAAGUUCUGGAUUAAAGAACCUCACGUACACAUGUACAAGGGCUGUGUGCCCCACUAUCUUCAGGGAGGAGCAUUUUUCUCAGAUCCACUUGAUUCAAUCUCUGAUGGCUCAGCCUCUGGAAGUCAAUAGAAUCAAAGAGGCUCAGUAAGCUGCAGCAAGACACAAAGAACAAGACAGUCACAUUGGAGGAAGCAGGAAGACUGCAGUCAUGUUAAUGAUUUAAUACUUCUUGAAUGUAUAUGCUACAUGACUUUCCUCUCAGUGACCAUGUUCAAAGGUUCAUCUAUAAUGAAUAACUAAGCCCUUAAUAAAGCAUGCUUCCUCUGUU